GGACCAUUUGCAUUAUAGACUAAAUUUUGAUCUAGACAAAAAUUUCAUCACAGCUUGAAAGAGCAUCACAAAAUUAGUAAUAUUCCAAAGUUUCGUUCCGUAAUGUUAUAAAAUGCGGAUAAUAUAGCCUUGCGAAGUUUGCCGUUUUUCAGUCAUUUUGUAUUACGCACGGGAAAUUGACAGCCCAAUCGGGUGUUGGGGCAUCAAUUUCCCGUUUGUAAUCCAAAAUGACUGAAAAUUGCAAAUUUCGCAAGGCUAUAUUAUCCGCAUUUUACAACAUUUCGCAACGAAACUUUGGAAUAUUACUAAUUUUGUGAUGCUCUUUCAAGCUGUGAUGAAAUUUUUGUCAAGAUCAAAAUUUAGUCUAUAAUGCAAAUGGUC